rnacentral:rRNA from 1 species
AGCAGCCGCGGUAAUUCCAGCUCCAAUAGCGUAUAUUAAAGUUGUUGCAGUUAAAAAGCUCGUAGUUGAAUUUCGGGAUCAGUACGCUGGUCAUGCCUUUGGUAUGCACUGGUGUCACUGGUUUCUCCCUUCUGAAGAUCCGUGAUGUCAUUAAUUUGGUGUCGCGGGGAAUCAGGACUGUUACUUUGAAAAAUUAGAGUGUUUAAAGCAGGCUCACGCUUGAAUACAUUAGCAUGGAAUAAUGAAAUAGGACGUUUGACCCUAUUUUGUUGGUUUCUAGGAUCGACGUAAUGAUUAAUAGGGAUAGUUGGGGGCAUUAGUAUUCAAUUGUCAGAGGUGAAAUUCUUGGAUUUAUUGAAGACUAACUACUGCGAAAGCAUUUGCCAAGGAUGUUUUCAUUAAUCAAGAACGAAAGUUAGGGGAUCGAAGACGAUCAGAUACCGUCGUAGUCUUAACCAUAAACUAUGCCGACUAGGGAUCGGAUGAUGUUAAUUUUAUAAUGACUCAUUCC